rnacentral:piRNA from 1 species
UAACUACAUACCCGAUCCUGCGGACGAA